GAUGAACGCUAGCUACAGGCUUAACACAUGCAAGUCGAGGGGUAACGAGAGGAAAGCUUGCUUUCCUUGUUGACGACCGGCGCACGGGUGAGUAACGCGUAUCCAACCUGCCCCCAACUAGGGAAUAACCUUGCGAAAGUAAGACUAAUACCCUAUAAUUUCCUCAGAUGUCAUCUGACGAGGAAUAAAGAUUUAUCGGUUGUGGAUGGGGAUGCGUCUGAUUAGCUUGUUGGCGGGGUACCGGCCCACCAAGGCAACGAUCAGUAGGGGUUCUGAGAGGAAGUUCCCCCACAUUGGAACUGAGACACGGUCAAAACUCCUACGGGAGGCAGCAGUGAGGAAUAUUGGUCAAUGGGCGGAAGCCUGAACCAGCCAAGUAGCGUGCAGGAUGACGGCCCUAUGGGUUGUAAACUGCUUUUAUACAGGAAUAAAGUUAACCACGUGUGGUUAUUUGUAGGUACUGUAUGAAUAAGGACCGGCUAAUUCCGUGCCAGCCGCCGCCGUAA
rnacentral:rRNA from 1 species